rnacentral:rRNA from 1 species
AUGGAGUCUUCUCUGUGCGAUCAGCAUACCGUCUCGCCCUUGACGAGCAAACCCGCACCUCUAUGUGCGCCACGAGCAGGGCACCGGAUGGCCGACGUGCCAUAUGGAAGGCAUUAUGGGGGUGCCCUGCCCCCCCAAAGGUGUCCAAUGGCUGUUGGAUUAUGGGAGGCGAUGGCGAAGGAUUGGGCGAUGCCGCUGCCGAGGAGUAUCGUGAACACAGGGCACGAAUGGCUACUACAUCUACUCGACACAUGCGGCGAAGGCGAGCGGCUCCCACUGCUCAUGACGUUGUGGCGUGCUUGGCACGUCAGGAAUGAGGUGGUGCACUUCAAGCCUGCCCCUCCAAUUGAAGCCUCACGGAGAUUCCUAGUAAGCUACAUCAACUCACUAAUGUGCAUCAAGCAACAUCCAUUGGCGGAUGUCGCAAAAGGAAAAAUGGUGGUCUCCUAUGGCCGAGGCUCUCAAUUGCAUUCAUGGAAGGCCGCUCCUCCAGGUCGUUCGCCAGUGAGAUGGAAACCACCACCUGAUGGCUGGCUUAAACUGAAUGUUGAUGGCGCCUUUUCUGAGUCAGAAGGGAAUGGAGCCAUGAUUGUGCAGCCGGAGGUGAACAGAUCUCCUGCGUCUAAUUUAGUUCAGGAAAUCAAGCACUUGCUAGCUAGAGGUAGAAGUCACAAGGUAGCUGCUAUUAGCCGAGUGCAAAAUAGUGUCAGUCAUAUGCUAGCAAAAAUUGGACGCACCGGCCCUAGAACGGCAGUGUGGUUAAGGUCUGGUCCAGAGGAGAUUGUAAACUUAUGUGCCGCGGAUCAAACUGAUCCGAUUUAA